AUCAAAAACAUAAAUCUACUUGCUAUUACAUGCAUUCACAUUCGUACAUUUUUACAUCACAAUUCUCAUUUAAUUCUUACAUUAGCUCUCACUUAACUUCCAAAUACAAUCCGAUUUUAACAUAGUUAUUACAACAUUGUUCUCACAAUUAUCAUACUCUUGGUUCUUUGCAUUUUAUACCCUAAGAAGCCGACUCAGGGUGCUGCUAUCUGGUCUCAGUGGUAGGGCGCUAACUACGGAGCUACGCCCUUUCCUCGCGCCGCCGCGCCGCUCGCGUGUGGACCUGUAAAACCCCGAAACAACGUGG
rnacentral:lncRNA from 1 species